UAGGGAAUAUUGCGCAAUGGAGGAAACUCUGACGCAGCGACGCCGCGUGGGUGAUGAAGGCUUUCGGGUCGUAAAGCCCUGUCGAAAGGGGAGAAAAACGGUCUGGCUAAUAUCCAGGCCGCUUGACGGUACCUUUAGAGGAAGCACCGGCUAACUACGUGCCAGCAGCCGCGGUAAUACGUAGGGUGCUAGCGUUGUUCGGAAUCAUUGGGCGUAAAGCGCGUGUAGGCUGUUAGCUAAGUCGAGUGUGAAAUCCCUGGGCUCAACCGAGGAAGUGCAUUCGAAACUAGCUGGCUAGAAGACGGUAGAGGAAGGUGGAAUUCCAAGUGUAGAGGUGAAAUUCGUAGAUAUUUGGAGGAAUACCUGUGGCGAAGGCGGCCUUCUGGGCCGAUCUUGACGCUGAGACGCGAAAGCGUGGGGAGCAAAC
rnacentral:rRNA from 1 species